rnacentral:rRNA from 1 species
UACCCGCAGCUCGAGUGGUGGUCGCUUUUAUUGAGCCUAAAACGUCCGUAGUCGGCCUUGUAAAUCCCUGGGUAAAUUGGGCCGCUUAACGGUUCAAGUUCCGGGGAGACUGCAAGGCUAGGGACCGGGCGAGGUCAGAGGUACUUUCGGGGUAGGAGUGAAAUCCUGUAAUCCCGAAGGGACCACCUGUGGCGAAAGCGUCUGACGUGAACGGCUCCGACGAUGAGGAACGAAGGCUAGGGGAGCAAACCGG